GAAGCUCAGCUGCGCGGCGUCUGAGGGCUUCGUGCCAAGUGCUAUGCUUCGGCGGCAAAAACAGUCACUCAGAACUGGCACGGACCGGGGGAUCCGACUGUCUAAUUAAAACAAAGCAUUGCGAUGGCCGCUGGUCGGUGUUGACGCAAUGUGAUUUCUGCCCAGUGCUCUGAAUGUCAACGUGAAGAGAUUCAUCAAAGCGCGGGUAAACGGCGGGAGUAACUAUGACUCUCUUGGGGUUCAAAAGGCGAAAGGGUUGUAUCCCUC
rnacentral:ncRNA from 1 species